AGUGAACGCUGGCGGCAGGCCUAACACAUGCAAGUCGAGCGGCAGCGCGGGGGCAACCCUGGCGGCGAGCGGCGGACGGGUGAGGAAUUCGUCGGAAUCUGCCUUUUUGUGGGGGAUAACGUAGGGAAACUUACGCUAAUACCGCAUACGUCCUACGGGAGAAAAUGGGGGACCGCAAGGCCUCACGCAGAAAGAUGAGCCGACGACCGAUUAGCUAGUUGGUGGGGUAAAGGCCCACCAAGGCGACGAUCGGUAGCUGGUCUGAGAGGAUGAUCAGCCACACUGGGACUGAGACACGGCCCAGACUCCUACGGGAGGCAGCAGUGGGGAAUAUUGGACAAUGGGCGCAAGCCUGAUCCAGCCAUGCCGCGUGUGUGAAGAAGGCCUUCGGGUUGUAAAGCACUUUUGUCCGGAAAGAAAUCCCUGGAGCUAAUACCUUCGGGGGAUGACGGUACCGGAAGAAUAAGCACCGGCUAACUUCGUG
rnacentral:rRNA from 1 species